UACGUAGGGGGCAAGCGUUGUCCGGAAUCAUUGGGCGUAAAGCGCGUGUAGGCGGUUCGGUAAGUCUGCUGUGAAAGUCCAGGGCUCAACCCUGGGAUGCCGGUGGAUACUGUCGGACUAGAGUACGGAAGAGGCGAGUGGAAUUCCCGGUGUAGCGGUGAAAUGCGCAGAUAUCAGGAGGAACACCAAUGCGAAAGGCAGCUCGCUGGGACGUUACUGACGCUGAGACGCGAAAGCGUGGGGAGCAAACAGG
rnacentral:rRNA from 1 species